CGUUUUAGUAUAUACGAGUUAUUGAAAAUAAAGGAGCAAUAAUAAACUUCUUGUUCGUUCAAGAAGAUUGGUAUUGCUCCUUUAUUAGCCUAUUUAUUACUAUUUAGUUGUCUCUUACUUAAUGUUUAAUAUAACAAAUAACAAACUAAAUUUUUUUCUUUCUUUUCAUUUUCAUUAUGUAGUAAUUUAUAGAAUAUAUAUUUCUUUUUUUUGUGCCUCUUGUAUUUUGGAAUAAAGGUAAAUACGAUGAAUGGUAGAGAUCCAAAUUCCUUCUAAUUUGGACUACAGAGAGUCUAGGGGCGGAUGUAGCCAAGUGGAUCAAGGCAGUGGAUUGUGAAUCCACCAUGCGCGC
rnacentral:misc_RNA from 1 species